GCUGACGAUGUUUUCCAGGCAGCGGCGGCAGAAGGUGUGCUGGCACGGCAGCACCUUGGCCGUGGUGUCCAGGCGCUCCAGGCACACCGAGCACUCCAGCAGAUCCAGCAGCGACGAAGACUCGUCCAUGUCGGCGGAGAGGCAGCUGAGCAGAAAGCAGUGAGGUCACGCUCUCAUCAUCAUCACCAUCCGCGCGCCGAUCAGAAAUGCGGGGCGCGCUCACGCACCACAGACAGAUUGAUACAGACGAGGAGAAAACGAGAGACAACUACACCCAGCAGCUCCACCACCACCACCACCACCACUCACACCCACCAGCAGGCAGGCUCGCUUAUUAUCAGGUUCCCCCCUCACACCUUCACUCCGGAGCUGGUGUCACACCUUUUCCGACAAACCUGAGAGGCUGAUGGGAGGUUUCCUGUCAUCUCACCUGCUCUGCGAGUGUUAAUAACACAGAGUCCUCAGCUGUGACGCCAAGUUCGAUCAAGUGCAUAGAUGCCUGUGCUUCAAACACGGCUCACAGGCUGCACGACAAACACCAAAUAUAACUUUUUUCAGGUUUUUUGUUGUUGUUGUUGUUGUUGUUGUUGUAGUUUUUCAAACCUGACAAGCGCAGACAUCAUCUUUAUUACCUCAUCCGUUUGAAAAACGGGACUUUUGGUGAUCAAGAAUUGGUUUCUGGCGACACCUGGUGGCCACGAGUCGAUCCUUGUUUUGGUUUUUCCAUAAAUCCUUAAAUCUC